GGAAAAUUGAAGUGUCAUUAACCGGUCACAAUAAAGCCUUAAAUUCAAAUUAAAUUAACGUUAAAUUAAGUUCGCAACGAAUUACCGGCCUAAAAUAUUCACAACGUUGACGUUUCGCAGUGAAAUUCAAAUGGCGUAAAUAAUUGAGCCAAGCCACAAUUUCAUAAAUGACAUAUUUCAUGUUGAUCAUUUUUCUGGCAAUUAUUCAUGUACCCUCACUGAACCGUCAGUCCCGCAUGUGAAUUAAAUAUUUUCCCGCUUAGUUUUCCACGUCAUUUUUGAUGCCGCAUUAAUUUUCUCCUUUAUUUUGUUUCCGGGUUUCAAGUCGCUGUUCAAUUUUUCGUUUUCAUUCAAGUUUUGUUCCAUUCAGUAAUCUCUAAUGAAAAUUGAUAGGCAAUAACCUAUUGAAACAAAAAGGCUGAAGUGGAAAGGACAGAACAUCCAGUAAUGGCUGAACCACUAUAAACCCCUAAAGUUAAAGAAAACGGCUGCGCAUUUGGCUAAUGGAGAAUUGCAUCGAAGACCACCAGAAAACAAUUAUGGCGAAGCGAACAAAAGAACAGUGAGAGGGACAGUAAAGUCAUUAGAGUAAGUGUCCGAACAGAUGUGUCGUAGUAUUGCCAUAAAGUCACAAGUCUGGUACUUUCCAGUAGAAUUCUAUUGGAAAUGGAAGCAAAAUUCUACUUCAGUUCUAUUUGGUGCCAAAUAAUCCAUAAACUGGGGUAAUAAACAUGUUUAACAGC